AUUGCCACCACACUGGGACCUCAAGGAGAUAUUUGCACAUCCAUGUUCAUAGCACCAUUAUUCACAAUAGCAAAAAGGUGCGGGCAACCGGAGUGUCCAUCCACAGAUGAAUGGAUAAACAAAAUGUGGUGUAUUCUUACAACAGAAU